CCGCGGCCCGCGCGCCCCUUUCCGGGCAGUUCCUCUCGGCGCCCCCGAGUCCUCCCCGCGCGCCGCUUCCCGGGUGGGUCCUUCCACCAGAACCCCCUGGUAGAUCCUCCCCUAGUGCCCUGGGGGUAGCGGGGAGAUCCUCCACGAGGGUCAUUUCCCUGGUGAUCCCUCCCUGUGCCCCCCAGGUGAGUCCUGCCGUAGCUCUCCAGGGGUUCCUCCUGAUGCCGCGGUCCUCCGGCAUUCCUCCCUGAGCCCCCCAAGGGCCCUGAAGCUCAGCGGCCCAGCCCUGGCCGCGGGGUCCUCACCCCACACCUCCCUUCCAGGCCUAACCUUUGCCCCCGACACCAGGCAGCGCGUGUCCUUGGCCUUCGCCGCCCAGCCCGCAUGGCAUCUCUGGACAGGUGGCCGUGCGCGCCUUGGUGUGGGCAGGCUCCGUAGCUGGCAAAGCCUCCCUGAACUGUGACCUGGUGAGAGGGCCACAGAGGAGGUGCCUGUGCCCAGAGGCCACCUCCAAAGACCCCACCUGAGGCUCGAACCCAGCGCCUGCUGACCCCGCCAGCCCCAACAGGGCUGGAGUCCAGGAGCGGCCGUGCUCUUUCCGCAGUGAGGCAGCUGCCUUCUCUCCCCACCACCUGUCAGGAUGCCUUCCUGUGUGUGUUUGUGCACAGGUCUAAGGAGAGGAGAGUCCGGUGACCCAGACGCCCCAGCCAGGAAGAGCAUGAGGUGGGAAGGGGGCUUCCCAGAUGGAGAGAAACAGAUGGUCCCAGAGCGGCUUGGAGACAGGACAUGGAGCGGAGCGUUCAGGGCUAUCUGGAGGGAGCCCCGUGGCCACAGUGCAAGAUCUAGGCAGGUCGGACAGACAUGGUCAGGAUGCCAGGGACAGAGCAUGGGGAAUCCAGCACACAGGACACCAUCCAGGAAAGCAAAGCUGCGGCCUGAGAUCUCCUUCCACCAACUCCAGGCAUGGCCAGAAAGUUAGCCAGAAACACCAGAAAGCGCCAGGUAGCUAGGAUGCAUGGGGAGAGCCCCCGAAUCUGCGUGGGUAGUGCCUGCUUCCGCUGCCAUCCCAGAGACGGAGGAGCUUCACCCUGAGAACCCAGCCACGCCACCAGGACACAUCCUGACAGUGACAUGCACACUCUCCCCUGGCCCCAGCCUGGAGAGGAGCCUCCUGAAGACACCAGCCUUUGCUCCUUCUCCCAGGGGGGGUGGAGAGGAGAACUGACUGCUGGAGUGGAGACAGUCAAGGCUGCCCUUCUGAGGGAGCACAGCACAGGGUCUGGUGUCCCAGGGACGCAAUCUGAACUUCAAGCCAGGCCUCCCCAGCGCAGAGGACACACCCCUCACCAUGCAGAGUGACGUUUAGUAAACUCUCAAAAGACAGCACAGAGCCCCGCUCCUCCAGCCGACCCUACUCUGCCUCCCCACUCCAGACCAGUGAAAAAGGUGGAUUGCCCUUAAGCCAGCUCAGAGGCAAAGUCCAAAGACCUCAGGUGAGUCAAACAAUAAAAACAAAGAAUUAAGAAGAAUCCAGCCGGGUGCGGUGGCUCACGCCUGUAAUCCCAGCACUUUGGGAGGCCGAGGCGGGCGGAUCAUGAGCAGGAGAUCGAGACCAUCCUGGCUAACACGGUGAAACCCCAUCUCUACUAAAAAAUAGAAAAAAUUAGCCGGGCGUGGUGGCGGGCGCCUGUAGUCCCAGCUACUCCGGAGGCUGAGGCAGGAGAAUGGUGUGAACCCAGGAGGCAGAGCUUGCAGUGAGCCAAGAUUGUGCCACCGCACUCCAGCCUGGGCGACAGAGCAAGACUCCGUCUCCAAUAAAAAAUAAAAAAUAAAUAAAAAAUAAAAAAAUAAAAAAUAUCCAUCCACUCCACCCACUUAGUAGCAGAGCGAAUAGACAUUCAGGAAAGAGCUUUCACGUCAGGACAGAAGUAGUGGCAUAUCCCCAGAGGCUGAGGUGGGAGCAUUGCUGAGAGGUGGCACAUGACCACAUCCAUGUCAUUCAACAACAGAAAAACAAGUCAGCGAGGGUGUGAGGGGUCGGUGAGAAAGCCAGUAUGUAAGAAAACACAACUGGGCUGGGCGCGGUGGCUCAUGCCUGUAAUCAGUGCACUGUGGGAGGCCAAGGCAGGAGGACCACCUGAGGUCAGGAGUUCGAGACGAGCCUGGUCAACAUAGUGAAACCUCAUCUCUCCUAAAAAUACAACAAAAUUAGCUGAGUGUGGCAGCGCGUGCCUGUAGUCCCAGCUACUCAGGAGGCUGAGGCAGGAGAAUUGCAUGAACCCGGGAGCCGAGACCACACCACUGCACUCCAGCCUGGAGGCGGCACAGUGAGACUCCAUCUCAAAGAAACAAACAUAAAAAAUAAAUAAAUAAGAAAAUACAACCCGAGAAACAGAAGAGGACUCCACAGGACUGCUUUCAGAGCUUCAUAGCAGCAUGAAUUCAACAAUCAGGGAUUCAAAUGCCUGACGACAAAACAGCAGGAUGGGAGGAAGAGUUAAGAGCCAAGCAAACCGGAAGCACCAAAAUCGCACCGUGGCUGGGUUAAGUCAAAAACAGCAAAGGGCAGAAUAUCAAGUUACUUGGAGAUGAAAGGCUUGAGAUAAUUUCAGAGCAAGACAAAGUGAUUAACACAAUAAUUUACUCACUUACUAUUUGUUAAACACCUACUUCAAGCUACAGGCCACUCUAGGCCUUGGAGGGUAAGGAAACAGCGCCUUUGCCCUCAGGGUUUGCAAUCUAGCAGGGAGGGGAACAUAAUAAAGUGUAUAAAACCACGGCUCUGGCUCUGAAAUUCCAACACUUUGGGCAGGUCACUUGAACCCAGGAGUUCGAGACCAGCCUGGG